AAUCCAUGUUGUGGGCAACCUCAAAUUAAAUCUUUAUAUCUUUCCCAUGCUUCAUAGAGUGACUCAAAAUCAUUUUGCUUGAGUUGACCGAUCUCACUCCAAGGUU